GUGUUUGCUCCAGCAGCACGUGUAAUAAAUUUGGGUCCAUCACAGAAUUCAUGUGGCCCCUACACAGUGAUGACUCACGAAUAAGUAAAGCAUUUCAUAUUUUU
rnacentral:snRNA from 1 species